UUUUCGUAGGUGAACCUGCGUAAGGAUCAUUAACGAGCAAGCCAAUUUUUGGCAAGCUGUUUAAGCAAUGUUCAAGUCCCUGAGACCAAUUGCUGGCUCAAGGCGGCUUUAUUUGAAGCGACAACGGUUGCGACUGACUUGUCGACUGCAGAGAGUUGAAUUGGAGCAGUUGCGCUGUUAGUGUUCCAGUGUUCAAGGCUGGGUGCCUAAUUCUGGCUUUUUCGCUAGAGCUGUAUCCUCUGGAGAUGCAGUGGGCUGUAAAGUUGGCGUUCACUGGCGUUGACGCCCAGCCAGAGCUCAGACGGACUUGUUAAUUUUAACUUUACUUUGAAAGUAUUGAAAUGCUAAGAUGAAGAAUACUGAGAGAAUCACUCUGAGCGGUGGAUCACUCGGCUCGCGAAUCGAUGAAGAAC
rnacentral:misc_RNA from 1 species